UACGUAGGCAGCAAGCGUUUGUUCGGAGUUACUGGGCGUAAAGGGCGCGUAGGCGGCUCAUGAAGGCUGUGGUGAAAGUCCGGGGCUCAACCUCGGAUCGGCCGUGGCGACUCGUGGGCUGGAGCACUGUAGAGGCGGGUGGAAUUCCGGGUGUAGCGGUGGAAUGCGUAGAGAUCCGGAAGAACACCAGUGGCGAAGGCGGCCCGCUGGGCAGUGGCUGACGCUGAGGCGCGACAGCGUGGGGAGCAAACAGG
rnacentral:rRNA from 1 species